rnacentral:rRNA from 1 species
AGAACGAACGCUGGCGGCAGGCUUAACACAUGCAAGUCGAACGGUUGUAGCAAUACAGCAGUGGCAGACGGGUGAGUAACACGUGGGAACCUUCCUAGGGGUACGGAACAACUCAGGGAAACUUGAGCUAAUACCGUAUACGUCCGUGAGGAGAAAGUUUUAACGCCCCUAGACGGGCCCGCGUAGGAUUAGGUAGUUGGUGAGGUAACGGCUCACCAAGCCUACGAUCCUUAGCUGAUCUGAGAGGAUGAUCAGCCACACUGGGACUGAGACACGGCCCAGACUCCUACGGGAGGCAGCAGUGGGGAAUCUUGGACAAUGGGCGCAAGCCUGAUCCAGCCAUGCCGCGUGAGUGAAGAAGGCCUUCGGGUUGUAAAGCUCUUUUACCAGGGACGAUAAUGACGGUACCUGGAGAAUAAGCCCGGCAAACUUCGUGCCAGCAGCCGC